AACGUAGGAGACAAACGUUAUCCGGAGUUACUGGGCGUAAAGGGCGUGUAGGUGGUAGUGUAAGUCUGGCGUGAAAUUUUUCGGCUUAACCGGGAAAGGUCGUCGGAUACUGCACAACUAGAGGACGGUAGAGGCGUGUGGAAUUCCGGGUGUAGUGGUGAAAUGCGUAGAGAUCCGGAGGAACACCAGUGGCGAAGGCGACACGCUGGGCCGUACCUGACACUGAGGCGCGAUAGCAUGGGGAGCAAACAGG
rnacentral:rRNA from 1 species